rnacentral:lncRNA from 1 species
GGGUGUGGUCAGACAAAGUGCAGGAAUGGGAGGAGUGCGCCAAGAAUGAGACGGCGUGCCCUAACAUGUAUGUAUGCUUGUUUUUUUCAGUUUUCCAAAGGAAAAGGAAAAACAUGUUCACUAUUUAUUCAAUUGUGUAUAAUUAGGAGCGCUUAUUCACUCAAAAAAUAUAGGAGCGUGUAACUGUUUGUUUAUAAUACAAACUAUGAUUUGCCAUUCUAUAUUGCCACAAAAGUUUCUUGAAAAUCAUAAAAAGAGGGCCAGUGAUGCUUAUGGGAAAGAAGGAAAUAAAAACACGUAAUGUGACCUACUCCCUCCAUUUGAAAAAGCUUGUCCCUCAAAUGAAUGUAUCUAGCACUAAUUUGGUGCUAGAUACAUCCAUUUGAGGGACAAAUUUUUUCGGACAGAGGAAGUACCGUUUUGUUCAUAUUCUUUGUAUUCUUUAAAAACUGCCUUUCAGAACUCGAGCGAAUGUGCCUGGAAAUGCAUUUGCCCUGCCCAAAGGACAAAGUCCAGCCCCGGCUGGCGUACUAUGGGAACAACAGGCUGUUUCAUCACAGACCCACAGUAAUAUACUGACUCUUCCUCUUUUUAAUCAGCAGUUUUCUGUUGAGAGAAGUGCAUAUUACACCCCCCAACUCUAGCCCUAGUCUAAUAUACACCCCUCAACUCCAAUACCGUCUAAAAUACACCCCUCAACUCUCAAAACCGGCUAGAAUUCAACCCUCCCCUCCCUGUUGACCGGUUUUGACCCAGUUUGACCGGUUUUGACUGAGUGAACAGUAAAAAAAAAUUAAAAAAAUUUUUUUUUUUUUUUGACAAAAUUCAAAAAGUUCCAAGUUUUUGCACCACGUGAACAGUAAAUUCAAAAAAAUCACCUUUUCAGCAUGUUUGGAUACCUGAGUAAAUUUGAGAUGUCCGUAAAUUCGAAAAAAAUUCAAAAUUUUCAGCAUGGUGAACAGUAAUUCGGGAAAAAAAUCCAAAAAAAAUCAGCACGCGCUCAAACAUCAUCCAUGCAAAAAAAAGGGUUUUAAAAAACAAUCGAUUUUACUGUUCGCCAAGCUGAAAUUUUGAAAAAAAAUCGAAUUUACGGACAUCUCGAAUUUACUCAGGUGUCCAAACAUGCUGAAAAGGUGAUUUUUUUUAAUUUACUGUUCACGCGGUGAAAAAAACUUGGAACAUUUUUGAAUUUUUUUCAAAAAAAAAUUAUGGUUUUUAAAAUUUUAUUUUUACUGUUCACUCAGUCAAAAACGGUCAAACUGGGUCAAAACCGGUCAACAGGGAGGGGAGGGUUGAAUUUUGGCCAGUUUUGUGAGUUGGGGGUGUAUAUUAGACGGUAUUGGAGUUGGGGGGUGUAUAUUAGACUAGGGCUAGAGUUGGGGGGUGUAAUAUGCACUUCUCUCUUUUCUGUUCAUCAAAUUUACGAGAAGGAGCCAUUUGCAUUCCUAAUUAUACUGUGUGUGAGAAGUAAUUGAAGAACAAUACAUCAGCUAAUCUUAGUGAAUUUCAUAAUACAUGACGACAAAUGCAGCAAUUUUUAGAUAACAAGAUGCAUGUUGUUGCAGUACACAAAAUUGAGAACUAAUCCUACCUAAGAGAAGCAAAUUACAAGAUAGCAAGACAUGAACUACUUGAUGUAUAUCUGGACAGUAUUAUAGGAUGGACAAUUCUAAUCCAUUGCUGGACUUUGGACCAAGCGAUAUAGGAUGUCCAAUAAAAAGCUUGACGUCCAAAUAAAAAGCUUGACUGCAAUAAACUUUUGGCUCGGUGGUCUUUUGAGACCUAACUUACAAAUUGUAUAACUUUUGGCUCACUGAACUUGGUCUUUCUUUUUUGCAGCAUGAUGAUUUCAGAAGUACAAUUGAAACAUUCUUCUAUAUGUUACCCUCUGCUAUUAGAAUGUAUUGUUGAAACUGAGCAGCAAAAAUUCAAGUUGAUAAUGCAUUGAUACAU